GACCCGACUGCUUUGGAGGAAAGGGUAACAAACCGUCCGGAGCCACCAGCCGUUAACGCUUCGCUGCUUCGACAUCAACUUUUUCAUGGAAACACAACAGAAACAUGGAGCCUACCUCACAGGUGUCACUCCCAGAAAAGGAAGUAAAGAAACAAGAGGCUGACGGCACGGUCUACAUGAAUUUCAUGAAAAGUCACAGCUGCUACGAUGCCAUUCCAACCAGCUGUAAACUGGUCAUAUUUGAUACCAAACUACAAGUGAAGAAGGCCUUCUAUGCACUGGUGGCAAACGGCUUGAGGGCGGCACCUUUAUGGGACAGCAAGUUACAGAGAUUUGUGGGUAUGCUGACCAUUACAGAUUUCAUCAACUUCCUGCAUUGCUAUUACAAGUCCCCCUUGGUUCAAAUGUACGAGCUGGAGAGCCACAAGAUCGAGACAUGGAGAGAUGUCCACUUGCAGUGUUUCAAUCGCUUCCUCAUUCACAUCACUCCAGAAGCCAGUCUUUUUGAUGCCAUCUAUUCGUUACUGAAGAAUAAGAUCCACAGGCUGCCAGUCAUCGACCCAGUGUCUGGAAAUGUCUUGCACAUCCUCACCCACAAAAGAAUCCUCAAGUUCCUCCAUAUAUUUGGGAAAACAGUUCCAAAGCCUGCUUUCAUUGGAAGGCAGAUCCAGGAGCUGAGGAUUGGGACAUUUACUAACAUCGCCACUGUUCAGCAAACUGCCACGCUGUUCCAUGCCCUCUCCAUUUUUGUGGAGAGACGGGUGUCUGCACUACCUGUGGUGGAUGAACAAGGCAGAGUGGUGUCUCUCUACUCAAGAUUUGAUGUGAUUAAUAUAGCAGCCCAGAAGAUUUACAACAAUCUGGACAUGCCUAUGCACGAGGUUGUUCGCAGGCGCUCAUGUUUUGUUGAAGGAGUGAUUAAAUGCUACCCUUAUGAAACCUUGGAAAUCAUCCUAGAUCGUAUAGUCAAAGCUGAGGUCCAUCGGCUGGUUCUGGUGGACAGGUCUGACGUGGUGAGGGGCAUCAUCUCUCUGUCCGACCUGCUGCAGGCCAUGGUGCUCUCCCCUGCAGGUAUUGAUGCCCUUUACUCCUAGCACCAGGGGCCAGAGGGGCCCCUCUCCCCUUUACCAGCUGUGUAGACUUGAGCCCUGGCAGCGUAUCCAGCCAGAAAUCUAUAUGUGACUGAAAUGAGAGAUCACAUGGGACGAUGAGCUGUUGUUUACACAAAGAUUUAUUUCAUGAUCUGUGUGCUGUGUUCAGGUAACAACAAAGGACAGUGAGCUGACCUUGAUACUACGACUCUAUAGGUCUCCAGCACAAUGUCAAUAUU